rnacentral:rRNA from 1 species
AGUGAACGCUGGCGGUAGGCCUAACACAUGCAAGUCGAACGGCAGCACAGUAAGAGCUUGCUCUUACGGGUGGCGAGUGGCGGACGGGUGAGGAAUACAUCGGAAUCUACUUUUUCGUGGGGGAUAACGUAGGGAAACUUACGCUAAUACCGCAUACGACCUACGGGUGAAAGCAGGGGAUCUUCGGACCUUGCGCGAUUGAAUGAGCCGAUGUCGGAUUAGCUAGUUGGCGGGGUAAAGGCCCACCAAGGCGACGAUCCGUAGCUGGUCUGAGAGGAUGAUCAGCCACACUGGAACUGAGACACGGUCCAGACUCCUACGGGAGGCAGCAGUGGGGAAUAUUGGACAAUGGGCGCAAGCCUGAUCCAGCCAUACCGCGUGGGUGAAGAAGGCCUGCGGGUUGUAAAGCCCUUUUGUUGGGAAAGAAAAGCAGCAGGUUAAGACCCCGCUGUUCUGACGGGACCCAAAGAAUAAGCACCGGCUAACUUCGU